ACCAAUUCCGGAGGAUGAUUUCGUUCUUCUCGGUAUAAUGGCUCGGACGCGACAUUCUAUUCUCUCGAUGUGUGGUUAUAUCCUGAUUGGUGGCGUUUUUGGUGUCAAUCCAAUCCUGGAAAGGCCACAUAUAUUU